CGGGUACGCUGUACGGCUAGCCUAUACAUGCAGUCUAACGGACCCUUCGGGGUUAGUGGCGGACGGGUGAGUAACACGUGGGAACGUGCCUUUAGGUUCGGAAUAGCUCCUGGAAACGGGUGGUAAUGCCGAAUGUGCCCUUCGGGGGAAAGAUUUAUCGCCUUUAGAGCGGCCCGCGUCUGAUUAGCUAGUUGGUGAGGUAAUGGCUCACCAAGGCGACGAUCAGUAGCUGGUCUGAGAGGAUGACCAGCCACACUGGGACUGAGACACGGCCCAGACUCCUACGGGAGGCAGCAGUGGGGAAUCUUGCGCAAUGGGCGAAAGCCUGACGCAGCCAUGCCGCGUGAAUGAUGAAGGUCUUAGGAUUGUAAAAUUCUUUCACCGGGGACGAUAAUGACGGUACCCGGAGAAGAAGCCCCGGCUAACUUCGUGCCAGCAGCCGCGGUAAUACGAAGGGGGCUAGCGUUGCUCGGAAUUACUGGGCGUAAAGGGCGCGUAGGCGGACAUUUAAGUCAGGGGUGAAAUCCCAGAGCUCAACUCUGGAACUGCCUUUGAUACUGGGUGUCUUGAGUGUGAGAGAGGUAUGUGGAACUCCGAGUGUAGAGGUGAAAUUCGUAGAUAUUCGGAAGAACACCAGUGGCGAAGGCGACAUACUGGCUCAUUACUGACGCUGAGGCGCGAAAGCGUGGGGAGCAACAGGAUUAGAUACCCUGGUAGUCCACGCCGUAA
rnacentral:rRNA from 1 species